rnacentral:lncRNA from 1 species
CUGAAACGAUUCUUUCAACCUGUUUUGAAAGGGCAUUCUGCAGACUCUCUCGGUAGUCUUUUCGAUUUGUUGCAAAAGCAAAUUGACCAAAGUGGUCUCGUAAAAAUACCAGAAAAAAUCUAUAUGUGUAGAGAAAACCUUCAUUCUUUAAAAGCUCUUUAUCGGAAUGUUGCUAACAGAGGGGAACGUACCAUUGAAGUGAUCGAAAAUAUAAUACAAAGAGGAUCAUUUCAUUUUUUAAUGACUUUCAGAACGUGUGAAGUCUCUGUAGAGUACGAACAAAAAAAGAAAAAAUACAAACAUUCUGAUGCUGAUUUGAGUGAUCUCCGUAGUAGAGCUCUUCUACUUAUGAAUACAGAAGACAGAGAUAGAAACAGAACGAGGAACCUUCGAAGAGAAGACUUAGAAAAAUUUGUUAAAAUUAUUGACAAAGCUUUCGAAGUAACACAUAUUAGUAUGAAACUGAAACAAGCGGGACAUUUUGACUUUGCAAGAUACGAAGA